rnacentral:rRNA from 1 species
GACGAACGCUGGCGGCGUGCUUAACACGUGCAAGUCGAACGGUAAGGCCCUUCGGGGUACACGAGUGGCGAACGGGUGAGUAACACGUGGGUGAUCUGCCCUGCACUUCGGGAUAAGCCCGGGAAACUGGGUCUAAUACCGGAUAGGACCACUGCCUGCAUGGGUGGGGGUGGAAAGCUUUUGCGGUGUGGGAUGGGCCCGCGGCCUAUCAGGUUGUUGGUGGGGUGAUGGGCUAACAAGGCGACGACGGGUAGCCGGCCUGAGAGGGUGACCGGCCACACUGGGACUGAGAUACGGCCCAGACUCCUACGGGAGGCAGCAGUGGGGAAUAUUGCACAAUGGGCGCAAGCCUGAUGCAGCGACGCCGCGUGAGGGAUGACGGCCUUCGGGUUGUAAACCUCUUUCAGCACCGACGAAGCGCAAGUGACGGUAGGUGCAGAAGAAGGACCGGCCAACUACGUGCCAGCAGCCGCAGUAA